AUACAUUUCUCAGCCUUUUGGCUAAGAUUAAGUUCAGAAUCUGUUCUGAUCAGUUUAAUAUCUGAUGAUAUUAACUCAAUGUCAAACAGACUGAACAAAA
rfam:Nicotiana attenuata strain TT chromosome 10, whole genome shotgun sequence.